GCACGGGUGCGUAACGCGUGGGAAUCUGCCCUUGGGUUCGGAAUAACAGUUAGAAAUGACUGCUAAUACCGGAUGAUGACGUAAGUCCAAAGAUUUAUCGCCCAAGGAUGAGCCCGCGUAGGAUUAGGUAGUUGGUGAGGUAAAGGCUCACCAAGCCGACGAUCCUUAGCUGGUCUGAGAGGAUGAUCAGCCACACUGGGACUGAGACACGGCCCAGACUCCUACGGGAGGCACCAGUGGGGAAUAUUGGACAAUGGGCGAAAGCCUGAUCCAGCAAUGCCGCGUGAGUGAUGAAGGCCUUAGGGUUGUAAAGCUCUUUUACCCGGGAUGAUAAUGACAGUACCGGGAGAAUAAGCUCCGGCUAACUCCGUGCCAGCAGCCGCGGUAAUACGGAGGGAGCUAGCGUUGUUCGGAAUUACUGGGCGUAAAGCGCACGUAGGCGGCUUUGUAAGUUAGAGGUGAAAGCCCGGGGCUCAACCCCGGAAUUGCCUUUAAGACUGCAUCGCUCGAAUCCAGGAGAGGUGAGUGGAAUUCCGAGUGUAGAGGUGAAAUUCGUAGAUAUUCGGAAGA
rnacentral:rRNA from 1 species